UGCUAUACAUGCAGUCGAGCGAACGGACGAGAAGCUUGCUUCUCUGAUGUUAGCGGCGGACGGGUGAGUAACACGUGGAUAACCUACCUAUAAGACUGGGAUAACUUCGGGAAACCGGAGCUAAUACCGGAUAAUAUUUUGAACCGCAUGGUUCAAAAGUGAAAGACGGUCUUGCUGUCACUUAUAGAUGGAUCCGCGCUGCAUUAGCUAGUUGGUAAGGUAACGGCUUACCAAGGCAACGAUGCAUAGCCGACCUGAGAGGGUGAUCGGCCACACUGGAACUGAGACACGGUCCAGACUCCUACGGGAGGCAGCAGUAGGGAAUCUUCCGCAAUGGGCGAAAGCCUGACGGAGCAACGCCGCGUGAGUGAUGAAGGUCUUCGGAUCGUAAAACUCUGUUAUUAGGGAAGAACAUAUGUGUAAGUAACUGUGCACAUCUUGACGGUACCUAAUCAGAAAGCCACGGCUAACUACGUGCCAGCAGCCGCGGUAAUACGUAGGUGGCAAGCGUUAUCCGGAAUUAUUGGGCGUAAAGCGCGCGUAGGCGGUUUUUUAAGUCUGAUGUGAAAGCCCACGGCUCAACCGUGGAGGGUCAUUGGAAACUGGAAAACUUGAGUGCAGAAGAGGAAAGUGGAAUUCCAUGUGUAGCGGUGAAAUGCGCAGAGAUAUGGAGGAACACCAGUGGCGAAGGCGACUUUCUGGUCUGUAACUGACGCUGAUGUGCGAAAGCGUGGGGAUCAAACAGGAUUAGAUACCCUGGUAGUCCACGCCGUAAACGAUGAGUGCUAAGUGUUAGGGGGUUUCCGCCCCUUAGUGCUGCAGCUAACGCAUUAAGCACUCCGCCUGGGGAGUACGACCGCAAGGUUGAAACUCAAAGGAAUUGACGGGGACCCGCACAAGCGGUGGAGCAUGUGGUUUAAUUCGAAGCAACGCGAAGAACCUUACCAAAUCUUGACAUCCUUUGACAACUCUAGAGAUAGAGCUUUCCCCUUCGGGGGACAAAGUG
rnacentral:rRNA from 1 species